rnacentral:rRNA from 1 species
AUGCGAGAUCCCAGCGGGAGCCGGCGGAGGAGGGCCCGCCGGACUCGCCAAGGAGACGCGGCCUACCUCCUCCAUGCGGGGAAUCACCUCGAGAAGCCCAGUUAUACACUUUACGCGAUGAAAUUCACAGCAAUACAGUUCAUCAACCUAUUUAUUGUGCCAUCUUGGAAUAAUGUUCGUGGAGUAGCUUAUCUCGUCAAGGCAACUCCUUAUCUUAAAAGACUCCGGCUAGAAAUCAAGUCUUUCAUUGCCUUUACCGUGUUUCUUAAAGCCUUUGGUGGUCUCCUUUUCAUCAUCAGCAGCUCGUUCGAAGCAUUCGUACCGCAUCUGACAGUGGAAUGCUUUAACAACAACCUUCCUGAAAGAUUCCAAAUGUGGUGGCAGAUCAAGUCUGUCAUUGCCUUUACCAUGUUUCUUAAAGCCUUUGGUGGUCUCCUUUUCAUCAGCAACAACUCGUUCGGAGCGUGUGUGCUUCUCACCUGUUGU